rnacentral:rRNA from 53 species
CCACCUGACCCCAUGCCGAACUCAGAAGUGAAACGCCGUAGCGCCGAUGGUAGUGUGGGGUCUCCCCAUGCGAGAGUAGGGAACUGCCAGGC